UACGUAGGGGGCGAGCGUUAUCCGGAUUUACUGGGUGUAAAGGGAGCGUAGACGGUUAAUCAAGUCUGAAGUGAAAGCCCGCGGCUCAACUGCGGAACGGCUUUGGAAACUGAGUAACUGGAGUGCUGGAGGGGCAGGCGGAAUUCCUGGUGUAGCGGUGAAAUGCGUAGAUAUCAGGAGGAACACCGGUGGCGAAGGCGGCCUGCUGGACAGUAACUGACGUUGAGGCUCGAAAGCGUGGGUAUCGAACA
rnacentral:rRNA from 1 species